rnacentral:rRNA from 1 species
CUGGCGGCGUGCCUAACACAUGCAAGUCGCACGAGAAAGUGGAGCAAUCCAUGAGUAAAGUGGCGAACGGGUGAGUAACACGUGACUACCUGCCCUCGAGUGGGGAAUAACUUCGGGAAACCGAGGCUAAUACCGCAUAACAUCGAGAGAUCAAAGCAGCAAUGCGCUUGAGGAGGGGGUCGCGUCUGAUUAGCUAGUUGGUAGGGUAACGGCCUACCAAGGCGAUGAUCAGUAGCCGGCCUGAGAGGGCGCACGGCCACACUGGAACUGAAACACGGUCCAGACUCCUACGGGAGGCAGCAGUGGGGAAUUUUGCGCAAUGGGGGAAACCCUGACGCAGCAACGCCGCGUGGAGGAUGAAGUCCCUUGGGACGUAAACUCCUUUCGAUCGGGACGAUUAUGACGGUACCGGAAGAAGAAGCCCCGGCUAACUUCGUGCCAGCAGCCGCGGUAAUACGAGGGGGGCAAGCGUUGUUCGGAAUUAUUGGGCGUAAAGGGCGCGUANGCGGUGCGGUAAGUCUGAUGUGAAAUCUCCGGGCUCAACUCGGAGUCUGCAUCAGAAACUGCCGUGCUG